ensembl:lncRNA
UUAUGAAAACAAUUCAUACCAAUGUAGCGUUCACCCCUGUAAACAAUUUGCAUGAUGAUGUACAAGUGAAGGAGAUCCACAUUUCAAACAAGCGCAUUAGUUUGCACAAUUCCUCACCUCAGUUACCUUUGCCCUUUUCUUCAAAUGGAGGCACAGUAACAGGAGAAAGAUGAUUAAGGAGUUGGGCAAACCAAAUUAUGAUCUCCCUAUCUAGCUUGUUGAGGGGUCGGGGCAUCUGAUCAAGGCCGGCUACCGCUGCAGCAGAGGCACGGGAGCCGGCGGCCGCUUCUGCUGAGGCAUGGCUGGCAGUUGCUCCAGCUGAGGCGCGGGCCACUUCCAUAGAGGCAUGGUUGGCAGUUGCUUCAGCUGAGGCGCGGGCCGCUUCCGCAGAGGCUCGGGGGCCGGCGGCCGCUUCUGCUGAGGCAUGGUUGGCAGUUGCUCCAGCUGAAGCGCAGGGGCCAGCCGCUUCUGCUGAGGCAUGGUUGGCAGUUGCUCCAGCUGAGGCGCUGGGGCCAGCCGCUUCUGCUGAGGCAUGGUUGGCAGUUGCUACAGCUGAGGCAUUUGUCCCGGCGUCACACUUGCCAGAGUAUUGGUGCCAGUAGCUUUAGCAUUUGGAACAGACACCACACUUGCUUGGGAUCCAGAUGGUUCAGGUCCAGUGCAUGCAGGAUGCCCAUAAGCAUCACCUAGGAAACAAAACAUUAUGGUAAAACGCCAGCCUUAAGCUAUUGGAACUAG